rnacentral:rRNA from 1 species
UACGUAGGGUGCGAGCGUUGUCCGGAAUUAUUGGGCGUAAAGAGCUCGUAGGCGGUGUGUCACGUCGGCCGUGAAAACCUGCAGCUUAACUGUGGGCGUGCGGUCGAUACGGGCAUCACUGGAGUUCGGCAGGGGAGACUGGAAUUCCUGGUGUAGCGGUGAAAUGCGCAGAUAUCAGGAGGAACACCCGGUGGCGAAGGCGGCAUCCUGGACCGGUAUUGACGC